rnacentral:rRNA from 1 species
ACGGCCCAUACUCCUACGGGAGGCAGCAGUGGGGAAUCUUGCACAAUGGACGAAAGUCUGAUGCAGCAAUUUCGCGUGAAGGAUGAAGCAUUACGGUGUGUAAACUUCUUUUUUGGCAGAAGACGAAUGACGGUAUGUCAAGAAUAAGAGACGGCUAACUACGUGCCAGCAGCCGCGGUAAUACGUAGGUCUCAAGCGUUGUCCGGAUUUACUGGGCGUAAAGUGUCCGUAGUCUGAAUUGUAAGUCUGUUUUCAAAUCCUACGACUCAAUCGUAGAAAGGGAGUGGAUACUGCAAUUCUGGAAGUAUCUGGGGGUUAGUGGAAUUUCCGGUGGAGCGGUGAAAUGCGUUGAUAUCGGAAGGAACGCCGAAAGCGAAAGCAGCUAACUACAGAAUACUUGACGAUGAGGGACGACAGUUCGGGUAGCAAACAGGAUUAGAUACCCUGGUAGUCCGAACCGUAAAUUAUGCUUGCUAGAUGUUUUUGUCAAUUUAUUGGCAGGAGUGUCGUAAUCUAACGAGUUAAGCAAGUCGCCUGGGUAGUAUAUUCGCAAGAAUGAAACUCAAAGGGAUAGGCGGGGGAACACACAAGCAGUGGAUUAUCUAGAUUAAUUGGAUAAUAAGCCAAGAAUCUUACCUAGGAUUGACAUGUAUUGUGUCUGCGGUGAAAGUCGCAUAUCCGUAGCAAUACGGAGCUUUACACAGAUGGUGCAUGGUCGUCGUCAGCUCGUGCCGCAAGGUGUCUAGUUAAGUCUGGAAACGAGCGCAACCCUCAUGCUUAGUUAGUAUGUCUAAGCAGACUGCUCGGGUAACCGAGAGGAAGGAGAGGAUGACGUCAGAUCCUCAUGCCUCUUACACCUAGGGCCUCAUAGAUAAUACAAUGGGUAGGUACAGCGAGAAGCAAGACCGCGAGGUGGAGCAAAUCUUUAAAACUACCCCUAGUUCGGAUUGUAGUCUGGAACUCGACUACAUGAAGUUGGAAUUGCUAGUAAUGGCAGAUCAGCCAUGCUGCCGUGAAUAUGUCCCUGUUCCUUGCACUCACCGCCCGUCAAACCAUGGGAGCUGAGGUUCUUUGAAGACUCAUUAUAUGGGUUAAGGAGGAAAUCAGUGACUGGGGUUAAGUCGUAACAAGGCAUCCCU